rnacentral:rRNA from 1 species
GACGUAGGGCGCGAGCGUUGUCCGGAUUUAUUGGGCGUAAAGAGCUCGUAGGCGGCUUGUCGCGUCAACUGUGAAAACUCGUGGCUCAACCAUGUGGUCUGCAGUCGAUACGGGCAGGCUAGAAUUCGGUAGGGGAGACUGGAAUUCCUGGUGUAGCGGUGAAAUGCGCAGACAUCAGGAGGAACACCGGUGGCGAAGGCGGGUCUCUGGGCCGAUAUUGACGCUGAGGAGCGAAAGCGUGGGGAGCGAACAGG